CUCACUUUGGCAGAACAUAUACAAAAAUUGCAUCAGUACAGAGCAGCUUAAAGUGGUCCCAAACAAGAAUGACAUACAAAUUCGUGAAGCAUUGGUCCAUAUUUUU
rnacentral:snRNA from 1 species